rnacentral:rRNA from 1 species
CAGUAGUCACGAGUUUGAUCAUGGCUCAGAUUGAACGCUGGCGGCAGGCCUAACACAUGCAAGUCGAACGAGACCUUCGGGUCUAGUGGCGCACGGGUGCGUAACACGUGGGAAUUUGCCUCGGGGUAUGGAAUAACUCAGGGAAACUUGAGCUAAUACCAUAUAAUGUCUUCGGACCAAAGAUUUAUCGCCCUGAGAUAAGCCCGCGUAGGAUUAGCUAGUUGGUGAGGUAAAGGCUCACCAAGGCGACGAUCCUUAGCUGGUCUGAGAGGAUGAUCAGCCACACUGGGACUGAGACACGGCCCAUACUCCUACGGGAGGCAGCAGUGGGGAAUAUUGGACAAUGGGCGAAAGCCUGAUCCAGCAAUGCCGCGUGAGUGAUGAAGGCCUUCGGGUUGUAAAGCUCUUUUACUCGGGACGAUAAUGACGGUACCGAGAGAAUAAGCCCCGGCUAACUCCGUG